rnacentral:rRNA from 1 species
GAUGAACGCUAGCGGGAGGCCUAACACAUGCAAGCCGAGCGGUAUAGAUCUUUCGGGAUCUAGAGAGCGGCGUACGGGUGCGGAACACGUGUGCAACCUGCCUUUAUCUGGGGGAUAGCCUUUCGAAAGGGAGAUUAAUACCCCAUAAUAUAUCAGAUGGCAUCAUUUGAUAUUGAAAACUCCGGUGGAUAGAGAUGGGCACGCGCAAGAUUAGAUAGUUGGUGAGGUAACGGCUCACCAAGUCUACGAUCUUUAGGGGGCCUGAGAGGGUGAUCCCCCACACUGGUACUGAGACACGGACCAGACUCCUACGGGAGGCAGCAGUGAGGAAUAUUGGACAAUGGGUGAGAGCCUGAUCCAGCCAUCCCGCGUGAAGGACGACGGCCCUAUGGGUUGUAAACUUCUUUUGUAUAGGGAUAAACCUACCCUCGUGAGGGUAGCUGAAGGUACUAUACGAAUAAGCACCGGCUAACUCCGUGCCAGCAGCCGCGGUAAUACGGAGGGUGCAAGCGUUAUCCGGAUUUAUUGGGUUUAAAGGGUCCGUAGGCGGAUGUGUAAGUCAGUGGUGAAAUCUCACAGCUUAACUGUGAAACUGCCAUUGAUACUGCAUGUCUUGAGUGUUGUUGAAGUAGCUGGAAUAAGUAGUGUAGCGGUGAAAUGCAUAGAUAUUACUUAGAACACCAAUUGCGAAGGCAGGUUACUAAGCAACAACUGACGCUGAUGGACGAAAGCGUGGGGAGCGAACAGGAUUAGAUACCCUGGUAGUCCACGCCGUAAACGAUGCUAACUCGUUUUUGGGCUUUCGGGUUCAGAGACUAAGCGAAAGUGAUAAGUUAGCCACCUGGGGAGUACGUUCGCAAGAAUGAAACUCAAAGGAAUUGACGGGGGCCCGCACAAGCGGUGGAUUAUGUGGUUUAAUUCGAUGAUACGCGAGGAACCUUACCAAGGCUUAAAUGGGAAAUGACAGGUUUAGAAAUAGACUUUUCUUCGGACAUUUUUCAAGGUGCUGCAUGGUUGUCGUCAGCUCGUGCCGUGAGGUGUUAGGUUAAGUCCUGCAACGAGCGCAACCCCUGUCACUAGUUGCCAUCAUUAAGUUGGGG